CGUCACCACAGCUUCAGGCCUGGGGGGCUUCGGCCACUGAGAUGAGGGGUUCAGGCCAGGUUUCAGAGUCCCACCAGGCCUCCCUCUUGCAACAGAAGGAAAGUCCACACUGAGGAGGAUCAUGGCCUGCUACGGUCGAAGUGCAAGGCACGCGUCAGAAGCAGUGGCUCCUUCUGCAGCAGGACUCACCUACUGACUCAGAAGGACGUCCUCCAGGGACAGCCAGCUCCUCCUCUGAGCGCACAGCCCAUGUCCUCUGCUGUGCGCUCCUCGCGCGAACCGACCCCACCUCGGACCGGAAGCCACCUUGGGCUGGAGGAUGCCAUGAAGUCUCUCUGGUUCAACGUGCAUGCACCGUCUCACUUAACCUGGGUUACUCUGUAUGAGUUGCACAGAAAAGGCCAACAUGGACAUCUGAGGACAGACAGCACAGGAGUACAGGAACUAAUGCAAAUUGCAUGUGAAUGACAUCCCCAUGCAGGCCACUACUGACCACACUUACCCUCCCAUUUCACACACCUGCUUGGGACUAUCCUUCCUGGAGGCCACUGGAACUUCUGGAGCCACCUGCAGCACUUCUGAUGCAUUUCCUAGAAGCUUUUGCACCUGCAAGAGAAACGAGGUUGAAGCAGUGUUGCAGUGUUGGUAUUGCUGUGGUGUGACUUUGUUCUAGAUCUUUGGGGAUGCCCAGGUGUGCAGAGGUAACUCCUGGUUGGUGACCCAUGAGGACACUUCCUAUGCAAACAUCAAGGAUGUCUACUUCGUGCCAUGUCGUGAAUUCUCAGGCACAGGCUUCCUGAGCAUCUACCAUGCGUCAAGCACUCUGCAAGGCACCAAAGGCACACAGGUAAUUAAGACAUGGUGCUGGCUCCUGGGAACUCACCAUCCAUGAGGCUCACAGAGGCAUCAUUUGACCAUUUUAGCACAAGAUGGGUGGGCAGGUGUUCCUAAGAGCUGCCCCUCCAUCCAAUGGGACAUGGCCUGUGGCUCUCCAGUGUCCACAAAAUGAACAAAGUGCAGCCGAGCUUGAGGUCCUGCGGUCCUUGAGGAUGAUCUGAACCCACGCAGCUGAUGGAGCCUUCGGAGGACACAGAGCCCUAGGCGGGAGUAGGACCUCAGAGAGGAGCAGCCAUGUGGGGGUCCCAGAUUCUCAGAACAUCCUCCGUCACUGGGGUGGCUCAUCCAUGGCAGAGCUGGCUGACCUCAAGUCACCCUAAGGACUGGAAACGGGUGUCUCAGUGGUGAGCAGUGCAGACAGGCCCAAGGCAAGACCCAGUCUCUUGUUCUUUCUCUACAGCCUGUGAGUAUGUGUGCAAGAGAGUGUGUGUUGGGGGAACAGCCCUGAAAAAAGAGGGGCUCUAAUUUCUUCCUUGCUUGGCAGGGUGAGCGCUCAGAGUGAAAGCUAAGUUGCUUUACUGGUUAUCAAGGCAGCAGAAUAACUGGGAUUAUCAUACAUUGGGGUAGGAGUAGAAAAUGAGACACCCACUCUAGAAAAGAAAGUGUUUCCUGCACACUGGAAUUUGUAAAGUGCAUCAUAUUCAUGACAAGGAAUCCUCAUGAUACCGUAAUGCCAUUGUCAAAUAGCUAUGUUGACUCUCAUCUUGUAGAUGAAGAAUCAAGGCUCAGAGAAAAUCUCUCAAGCUGGCCGCAGGGCUGUUUCCACUGUGCCUGCU
rnacentral:lncRNA from 1 species